rnacentral:rRNA from 1 species
GAUGAACGCUGGCGGCGUGCCUAAUACAUGCAAGUCGAGCGAACAGACGAGGAGCUUGCUCCUCUGACGUUAGCGGCGGACGGGUGAGUAACACGUGGAUAACCUACCUAUAAGACUGGGAUAACUUCGGGAAACCGGAGCUAAUACCGGAUAACAUGUUGAACCGCAUGGUUCAACAGUGAAAGACGGUUUUGCUGUCACUUAUAGAUGGAUCCGCGUCGCAUUAGCUAGUUGGUAAGGUAACGGCUUACCAAGGCAACGAUGCGUAGCCGACCUGAGAGGGUGAUCGGCCACACUGGAACUGAGACACGGUCCAGACUCCUACGGGAGGCAGCAGUAGGGAAUCUUCCGCAAUGGGCGAAAGCCUGACGGAGCAACGCCGCGUGAGUGAAGAAGGUCUUCGGAUCGUAAAACUCUGUUAUUAGGGAAGAACAAAUGUGUAAGUAACUAUGCACGUCUUGACGGUACCUAAUCAGAAAGCAACGGCUAACUACGUG